GGCAACGUGCCAGAGUGGUUAAUGGGUAUGACUCGAAUGAGGUUCCUCAGAAAUCAUAUGCCUUCGGGCGCGCAGGUUCGAAUCCUGCCGUUGUCG